AAGUUUGUUACCUGCCUGGUCUGAACAGCCUGACUUUGAAUGUCCUGCCUCCCUGUCUGGAUUUGUUUGCAUUUUAGACUGGUUCUGACACUUCCCUGGCUGCCGAUACACUCACCAGUGUUGGAGUUGGCCGAGGACGGAGUCUGCAAAUGAGGGGAGGAGUACGCCGAUGAGUCAAAGUUUGAAAGGUGCUGAUGAAUGAUGAAUGAUGAAUAGUCCAACCUGGACUCCCGAUGAGAAAACUGACAGGGAGCUGUAGCUGGGCAGGGACGACUCAGCCUGACUCAACAUGGACCCUGGAGAGAGACACACAGAGCGCAAAGAGAGAGUAAUUACGACAAGAUUUAAGCGGAAGCCUUGCAGCAGAGUGACCUGGAGUUUACCUGAACUGCUGCCGUGCUGCUGAUGAUAGACGGACGUGUUGAAGGA